AUAAAUUGUUCUUGUAGCCGAAAUUCGUUUGCAUAUUUGCUUUUUGACCUUUUUGGCUGUGUGCUAUAGGUCUACUUGAUAUUGGAUGAGUUUAUUCUUGCUGGAGAGCUUCAAGAAACAAGCAAAAGGGCAAUUAUAGAGAGGAUGGGCGAGCUUGAGAAGCUGGAAUGAGGAGAAAUUGGAUGGGAUAUAAUCAGGGACAAGCCUGUUCUGCCCUAUCAACGAGUCACUUAUAUUUUGUUUGUACAGUUCUUUGUACCUGUUGUGCUAUUAUCCUUGCUCCAUUUGAACCCUUCAGGACUGUGUGUCUGUAAGUACCCUUUCAUUGUUUCGUGAGGUUAAUGGUGCAUAUUUUGGGCCACUUUUCAUGUGAAGGUAUGAAUUUUAUGCAAAGGAACAAACCCACUGAUUAAGUGAUCAUAUAAGUGUGCACUUUUGACACCAGUACUGAUAAUUGUUCGCUA